rnacentral:rRNA from 1 species
CCAGCCGCCGCGGUAAUACGUAGGUGGCAAGCGUUGUCCGGAAUUAUUGGGCGUAAAGGGCGUGUAGGUGGAUCUUUAAGUCGUGUGUCUAAGUGCGGAGCUCAACUCCGUAUGGGCGCAGGAAACUGGGGAUCUUGAGUGCAGGAGAGGAAAGUGGAAUUCCCAGUGUAGCGGUGAAAUGCGUAGAUAUUGGGAGGAACACCAGUGGCGAAGGCGACUUUCUGGACUGUGUCUGACACUGAGGCGCGAAAGCUAGGGGAGCGAACGGGAUUAGAUACCCCGGUAGUCCUAGCCGUAAACGAUGGGUACUAGGUGUAGAGGGUAUCGACCCCCUCUGUGCCGCAAGCAAACGCAAUAAGUACCCCGCCUGGGGAGUACGGCCGCAAGGUUGAAACUCAAAGGAAUUGACGGGGGCCCGCACA